rnacentral:rRNA from 1 species
UACGUAGGGUGCAAGCGUUGUCCGGAAUUAUUGGGCGUAAAGAGCUCGUAGGCGGUUUGUCGCGUCGAAUGUGAAAAUCCGGGGCUCAACCCCGGACUUGCAGUGGGUACGGGCAGACUAGAGUGUGGUAGGGGAGACUGGAAUUCCUGGUGUAGCGGUGAAAUGCGCAGAUAUCAGGAGGAACACCGAUGGCGAAGGCAGGUCUCUGGGCCACUACUGACGCUGAGAAGCGAAAGCAUGGGGAGCGAACAGGAUUAGACUUAC